rnacentral:rRNA from 1 species
CCUCCGGGAGGCAGCAGUAGGGAAUAUUGCUCAAUGGGGGAAACCCUGAAGCAGCAACGCCGCGUGGGUGAGGAAGUAUUUCGGUAUGUACAGCUCUAUCAGCAGGGAAUAGAAAAGAAGGUACCUGAAAAAGAAGCCCCGGCUAACUACGUGCCAGCAGGCGCGGUAAUACGUAGGGGGCAGGCGUUAUACGGAUUUACUGGGUGUAAAGGGAGCGUAGACGGAAAGGCAAGUCAGAAGUGAAAACCCAAGGCUCAACCAGGGGAAUGCUUUUGAAACUGUCAAACUAGAGUACGGGAGAGGUAAGAGGAAUGCCUAGGGUAGCGGUGAAAUGCGUAGAUAUUAGGAGGAACACCAGUGGCGAAGGCGUCUUACUGGACCGAAACGGACGUUGAGGCUCGAAAGCGUGGGGAGCAAACAGGAUUAGAUACCCUGGUAGUC